AGUGAACGCUGGCGGUAGGCCUAACACAUGCAAGUCGAACGGCAACACAGUAAGAGCUUGCUCUUAUGGGGGGCGAGUGGCGGACGGGUCAGGAAAACAUCGUAAUCUACUUUUUGGGGGGGGAUAACGUAGGGAAACUUAAGCCAAUACCGCAGCCCCCGUACGGUGGAAAGCAUUGGAACUUCGGACCUGGUGCGGUUGAAUUCGCCGAUGUUGAAUUAGCUAGUUGGCGGGUUAAAGGCCCACCAAGGCGACGAUCCGUAGCUGGUCUGAGAGGAUGAUCGGCGACACUGGAACUGAGACACGCUCCAGACUCCUACGGGAGGCAGCAGUGGGGAAUGUGGGGCAAUGGGCGGAAGCCUGAUCCAGCCAGACCGCGUGGGUGAAGAAGGCCUUCGGGUCGUAAAGCCCUUUUGUUGGGAAAAAAAAGCUGUAGGUUAAUACCCAGCUGGUCUGACGGUACCGAAUGAAUAAGCACCGGCUAACUACGUG
rnacentral:rRNA from 1 species